rnacentral:rRNA from 1 species
GAUUCAGACCUUGGUGAGUGGCGGACGGGUGAGUAACACGUGGGUAACCUGCCCAAAAGUGGGGGAUAACAUCUGGAAACAGGUGCUAAUACCGCAUAACAACUACUUUCUCAUGAUCGUAGCUUGAAAGAUGGCUCUGCUAUCGCUUUUGGAUGGACCCGCGGCGUAUUAGCUAGUUGGUGAGGUAAUAGCUCACCAAGGCAAUGAUACGUAGCCGACCUGAGAGGGUAAUCGGCCACAUUGGGACUGAGACACGGCCCAAACUCCUACGGGAGGCAGCAGUAGGGAAUCUUCCACAAUGGGCGAAAGCCUGAUGGAGCAAUGCCGCGUGAGUGAAGAAGGUUUUCGGAUCGUAAAACUCUGUUGUUGAAGAAGAACAUGCGUGAGAGUAACUGUUCACGUACUGACGGUAUUCAACCAGAAAGCCACGGCUAACUACGUGCCAGCAGCCGCGGUAAUAACGUAGGUGGCAAGCGUUGUCCGGAUUUAUUGGGCGUAAAGAGAAUGUAGGCGGUUUAUUAAGUUUGAAGUGAAAGCCCUCGGCUCACCCGAGGAAGUGCUUCGAAAACUGGUAAACUUGAGUGCAGAAGAGGAAAGUGGAACUCCUGGUGUAGCGGUGGAAUGCGUAGAUAUAUGGAAGAACACCAGUGGCGAAGGCGGCUUUCUGGUCUGUAACUGACGCUGAGAUUCGAAAGCAUGGGUAGCAAACAGGAUUAGAUACCCUGGUAGUCCAUGCCGUAAACGAUGAGUGCUAAGUGUUGGAGGGUUUCCGCCCUUCAGUGCUGCAGCUAACGCAUUAAGCACUCCGCCUGGGGAGUACGAUCGCAAGAUUGAAACUCAAAGGAAUUGACGGGGGCCCGCACAAGCGGUGGAGCAUGUGGUUUAAUUCGAAGCAACGCGAAGAACCUUACCAGGUCUUGACAUACCAUGAAAAGCUAAGAGAUUAGUCUUUCCCUUCGGGGACAUGGAUACAGGUGGUGCAUGGUUGUCGUCAGCUCGUGUCGUGAGAUGUUGGGUUAAGUCCCGCAACGAGCGCAACCCUUAUUAUCAGUUGCCAGCAUUCAGUUGGGCACUCUGGUGAGACUGCCGGUGACAAACCGGAGGAAGGUGGGGACGACGUCAAAUCAUCAUGCCCCUUAUGACCUGGGCUACACACGUGCUACAAUGGUCGGUACAACGUGCUGCGAACUCGCGAGGGUAAGCAAAUCACUUAAAACCGAUCUCAGUUCGGAUUGUAGGCUGCAACUCGCCUACAUGAAGCUGGAAUCGCUAGUAAUCGCGGAUCAGCAUGCCGCGGUGAAUACGUUCCCGGGCCUUGUACACACCGCCCGUCACACCAUGAGAGUUUGUAACACCCAAAGUCGGUGGGGUAACCCUUCGGGGAACUAGCCGCCUAAGGUGGGACAAAUGAUUAGGGUG